rnacentral:rRNA from 1 species
GACGAACGCUGGCGGCGUGCUUAACACAUGCAAGUCGAGCGGUAAGGCCUUUCGGGGUACACGAGCGGCGAACGGGUGAGUAACACGUGGGUGAUCUGCCCUGCACUUCGGGAUAAGCCUGGGAAACUGGGUCUAAUACCGGAUAUGACCUCCUAUCGCAUGGUGGGUGGUGGAAAGAUUUAUCGGUGCAGGAUGGGCCCGCGGCCUAUCAGCUUGUUGGUGGGGUAAUGGCCUACCAAGGCGACGACGGGUAGCCGACCUGAGAGGGUGACCGGCCACACUGGGACUGAGACGCGGCGCAGACUCCUACGGGAGGGAGCAGUGGGGAAUAUUGCACAAUGGGCGAAAGCCUGAUGCAGCGACGCCGCGUGAGGGAUGACGGCCUUCGGGUUGUAAACCUCUUUCGGCAGGGACGAAGCGCAAGUGACGGUACCUGCAGAAGAAGCACCGGCUAACUACGUG